UACAGAGGGUGCGAGCGUUGUCCGGAAUCACUGGGCGUAAAGGGCGCGUAGGUGGCGCGACAAGUCAGUGGUGAAAGCUCGGCGCUCAACGCCGAGUCGGCCACUGAUACUGUUGGGCUUGAGCACUGUAGAGGCAGAUGGAAUUCCGGGUGUAGCGGUGGAAUGCGUAGAGAUCCGGAAGAACACCGGUGGCGAAGGCGGUCUGCUGGGCAGUAGCUGACACUGAGGCGCGACAGCGUGGGGAGCAAACAGG
rnacentral:rRNA from 1 species